rnacentral:rRNA from 1 species
UGGUCAAGUUAUUAAGGGUGCAGGGCGGAUGCCUUGGCACUAGGAGCCGAUGAAGGACGUGAUAAGCUGCGAUAAGCUUCGGGGAGUUGCACGUAAACUUUGAUCCGAAGAUUUCCGAAUGAGGAAACUCACUUAGAGUAAUGUCUAAGUAUCAUUAAGUGAAUACAUAGCUUAAUGAGGGGAACUCAGGGAACUGAAACAUCUAAGUACCUGAAGGAAGAGAAAGAAAUUCGAUUCCGUAAGUAGCGGCGAGCGAACGCGGAUUAGCCCAAACCAAUAAAGUUUUCUUUAUUGGGGUUGCGGAUAUAUCAUAACGAAGAGGUAUCGUAAUUGAAGAGGUUUGGAAAGACCCACCACAGAAGGUAAUAGUCCUGUAUGUUAAACGAGAAGACUUUAGAUAUGAUCCAGAGUACCACGGGACACGUGAAACCCUGUGGGAAGCAGGAGGGACCACCCUCCAAGGCUAAAUACUACCUAGUGACCGAUAGCGUAUAGUACCGUGAGGGAAAGGUGAAAAGAACCCCGGGAGGGGAGUGAAAUAGAACCUGAAACCCUGCACUUACAAGCUGUGGAAGCACAUUUCUUGUGUGACCGCGUACUUUUUGUAGAACGGGCCAACGAGUUACGUUAAGUAGCAAGGUUAAGCACUUAAGGUGUGGAGCCGUAGCGAAAGCGAGUUUUAACUGAGCGUUCAGUUACUUGACGUAGACCCGAAACCGGGCGACCUACCCAUGAGCAGGAUGAAGCGAAAGUAAAAUUUCGUGGAGGUCCGAACCCACGAGCGUUGAAAAGCUCGGGGAUGACUUGUGGGUAGCGGUGAAAUUCCAAUCGAGCCCGGAGAUAGCUGGUUCUCCCCGAAAUAGCUUUAGGGCUAGCCUCAAGGUGAGAGAUACGGAGGUAGAGCACUGAAUGUCCUAGGGGGUAUUGCACCUACCGAAGACUAUCAAACUCCGAAUGCCGUCAUCUUAUACUUGGGAGUCAGACUGUGGGUGAUAAGAUUCAUAGUCGAAAGGGCAACAGCCCAGAUCGUCAGCUAAGGUCCCUAAAUGUAAGUUAAGUGGUAAAGGAUGUGGGAUUGCACAGACAACCAGGAUGUUGGCUUAGAAGCAGCCACUCAUUCAAAGAGUGCGUAAUAGCUCACUGGUCGAGUGAUCCUGCGCCGAAGAUUUCCGGGGCUAAAACUUACUACCGAAGCUACGGCAUCAGUAAUGAUGGGUAGGGGAGCUUCCCAUACGGGUUGAAGCAUGACCGUAAGGACAUGUGGACAGUAUGGGAGUGAGAAUGUUGGCAUGAGUAGCGAGAUGUGGGUGAGAAUCCCACAGGCCGUAAACCCAAGGUUUCCAGGGGAAGGUUCGUCCGCCCUGGGUUAGUCGGGACCUAAGCUGAGGCCGAAAGGCGUAGGUGAUGGACAACAGGUUGAUAUUCCUGUACUACCGAUAACCGUUUGAGAGAAGGGAUGACACAGUAGGAUAAGCUAAGCACACUGUUGGUUAUGUGUGCCCAAGCAUUGAGGCAGUCAAAGUAGGCAAAUCCGCUUUGAUAAUGCUGGGAUGUGAUGGGGAGCGAAAUUUAGUAGCGAAGUAGCUGAUUUCACACUGUCAAGAAAAGUCUCUAUCGAGGUUAAAGGUACCCGUACCGCAAACCGACACAGGUGGGUGAGGAGAGUAUCCUAAGGCCAGCGAGAGAACUGUUGUUAAGGAACUCGGCAAAAUGACCCCGUAACUUAGGGAUAAGGGGUGCCACCAUUAGGUGGCCGCAGAGAAUAGGCCCAAGCGACUGUUUACCAAAAACAUAGGUUUCUGCUAAGUCGCAAGACGAUGUAUAGGAGCUGACGCCUGCCCGGUGCUGGAAGGUUAAGGGGAUCUGUUAGAGCAAUCGAAGCAGUGAACUUAAGCCCCAGUAAACGGCGGCCGUAACUAUAACGGUCCUAAGGUAGCGAAAUUCCUUGUCGGGUAAGUUCCGACCCGCACGAAAGGCGUAACGAUUUGGGCACUGUCUCAACAACAGACUCGGUGAAAUUGUAAUUCCGGUGAAGAUGCCGGAUACCUGCGACAGGACGGAAAGACCCCAUGGAGCUUUACUGUAGCUUGACAUUGGGUCUUGGUACUACAUGUACAGGAUAGGUGGGAGGCUUUGAAACCAGGACGCCAGUUUUGGCGGAGCCAUCCUUGGGAUACCACCCUUGUAGUACUGGGACUCUAACCAUAGGCCAUGAAUCUGGUCUUGGGACACUGUCAGGUGGGCAGUUUGACUGGGGCGGUCGCCUCCCAAAAGGUAACGGAGGCGCUCAAAGGUUCUCUCAGUACGGUCGGAAAUCGUACGUAGAGUGUAAAGGCAAAAGAGAGCUUGAUUGCAAGACAUACAGGUCGAGCAAGGAUGAAAAUCGGACUUAGUGAUCCGGUGGUUCUGCGUGGAAGGGCCAUCGCUCAACGGAUAAAAGCUACCCUGGGGAUAACAGGCUUAUCUCCCCCAAGAGUCCACAUCGACGGGGAGGUUUGGCACCUCGAUGUCGGCUCAUCACAUCCUGGGGCUGUAGUAGGUCCCAAGGGUUGGGCUGUUCGCCCAUUAAAGUGGUACGCGAGCUGGGUUCAGAACGUCGUGAGACAGUUCGGUCCCUAUCCGUCGCAGGCGUAGGAAAUUUGAGAAGACCUGUCCUUAGUACGAGAGGACCGGGAUGGACGUACCUCUGGUGUACCAGUUGUCCUGCCAAGGGCAUGGCUGGGUAGCUAUGUACGGAAUGGAUAAGCGCUGAAAGCAUCUAAGCGCGAAGCCAACUUCAAGAUAAGAUUUCCCACCGCAAGGGUAAGACCCCAGAAAGACUAUCUGGUUGAUAGGUCGAAGGUGUAAGUGCAGCAAUGUAUUUAGCUUAUCGAUACUAAUAGGUCGAGGACUUGACCAAU